rnacentral:rRNA from 1 species
UACGGAGGGUGCAAGCGUUAUCCGGAUUCACUGGGUUUAAAGGGUGCGUAGGCGGGUAAUUAAGUCAGUGGUGAAAUCCUGGAGCUCAACUCCAGCACUGCCAUUGAUACUAUUUAUCUUGAAUAUUGAGGAGGUAUGCGGAAUAUGUCAUGUAGCGGUGAAAUGCUUAGAUAUGACAUAGAACACCGAUUGCGAAGGCAGCAUGCUACUCAUAUAUUGACGCUGAGGCACGAAAGCGUGGGGAUCAAACAGG